rnacentral:rRNA from 15 species
CUGGAUGGGCUAGGGGGUCGCGAGACCUACCAAACCUAACCAAACUCCGAAUACCUAAGAGUGAUAUGCGGGAGACAGACGGCGGGUGCUAAGGUCCGUCGUCAAAAGGGAAACAGCCCUGACCUACAGCUAAGGCCCCCAAAUCGUAUCUAAGUGGGAAAGCAUGUGGGACUUCCAAAACAACCAGGAUGUUGGCUUAGAAGCAGCCAU